AAGGAAAGGGGAAUUAAAAGCAAGACCCUCAGGGCAUUUAAUAACUGUGGCAUCUUAUUCUUGCUUUAUGUGAUUACUGGGAUUAUCUGCUAAAAGCAAGAGCCCAAUCUAGUAUUUCUGUUUGACUUGCCCUUUCUUUCCUUUCAUUUACAACCUUGAGCCUCUUCCAUGAUUUUCGUUUGGUUAAUGAUGGACAAACCUGGAGUGUGAAAAAGUUUUCUGAUCUAUGGAAGGUUCGACACAACCAAUCUUCUCUAAAAAACAGGAACUGCCAGAUUCAGCUUUUAUAAAAUCCCAAAUCCCUAUCAGAAGCAUUUAAAAGCAGAUCCAUAACAGACUCUGCAGCCAGCUGCAGUGGCCUAAAGCACGGAGCCGCGGAGGCUCAGGAGAGCCGGCCGGUGGCAGAACAUGGGCUCCAGUCCAGGCCUCAGCAGGAAACGCCAAGCUACUCCAUCCCAGGUGAUCUCCGCAGAACUCAGUGACUCCUGCUUGCGAACCAGGCAAAUGCUACGCUUUGUCUCAAACAUCACAAAUCACCUGAGGGAGAAGCUGUAUUUCAAAAGGGAAAGAUCUCUUUGGGGGGUUUCUGGAGCCAGAAGGAAAGGGAAUUUUAAACCGAAGCCCAGCACAGUUUAGGUUUAAACUCCUAAAACUUCAUCUUGGGGAUUCCAGACAUAUGGGAUAACCUGAGAAGGCUGAAAAGAUCAUACAUAGUAUUCUCAGGAAUUGUGAUCCCAUGGAAAGAGCGAGGACUCUGGAGCCAGUUCCAAAGGGUGCGUUUUAGUUCUGGUCAGUUACUCAUGUAUAGUUUGACCUGGGACAAAGUAUUCAAGUUCUUUAAGUCUCAGGACUUUUACAUAACACAAAUAACAUGUCUCUUGCAAGGUUAUGGUACUUUUAAUACACUGAAAUAUCCUUCUUUGCUUAUAUAACAGCUCAGUAAAUAUUAUUUUUCUUUUCCUGCUCCCUCUGCCUUCCUCCCACCUACCCAACAAAUACUUAGCUGAACCAAAACAUAUCACUGCUGCUGUGCCUACAUGCCUCAGGAAUUUAUUUCAGAAUGUCAUAGAGGGAUAGUUUGAAGAAACCUGCUAACAUCAAGGAAUUUCCUUACCAAAUAAUUUGGCAAAACUUGUAAACUCUGAGGGCAGCUGUUCCAGGUGGGGACCAUAAUUUGCACCUGAUCUAAAGUAUUUCACCACCAGAGAACCUGCUUCACAGUCCUGGUCUACGUACCGCUAGAAACAAGAGAAGGCGGGUCCCCACCAAGUCUGUGGUCAGAAGGUGGAAAGCCAGACAAAAGAGAGAAGCUGAGGGGGCAAUGGGGACAGU
ensembl:lncRNA